CCUACGGGUGGCAGCAGUGGGGAAUAUUGCACAAUGGGGGAAACCCUGAUGCAGCGACGCCGCGUGAGUGAAGAAGUAACUCGUUAUGUAAAGCCCUAUCAGCAGGGAAGAAAAUGACGGUACCUGAGUAAGAAGCCCCGGCUAACUACGUGCCAGCAGCCGCGGUAAUACGUAGGGGGCAAGCGUUAUCCGGAUUUACUGGGUGUAAAGGGGGCGUAGACGGCAGUGCAAGUCUGGAGUGAAAGGCGGGGGCACAACCCCCGGACUGCUCUUGAAACUGUACGGCUGGAGUGCAGGAGAGGUAAGCGGAAUUCCUAGUGUAGCGGUGAAAUGCGUAGAUAUUAGGAGGAACACCAGUGGCGAAGGCGGCUUACUGGACUGUAACUGACGUUGAGGCUCGAAAGCGUGGGGAGCAAACAGGAUUAGAUAUCCCUGUAGUC
rnacentral:rRNA from 1 species